rnacentral:rRNA from 1 species
GACGAACCGUGCGAACGUUAUUCGGAAUCACUGGGCGUAAAGCGCGUUCAGGCGGUUUGGCAAGUCGGGCAUGAAAUCUCUCGGCUCAACCGGGAGAGGUUGUCCGAUACUGCUGGACUUGAGGGCAGUAGAGGGUGGUGGAAUUCCGGGUGUAGUGGUGAAAUGCGUAGAUAUCCGGAGGAACACCAGUGGCGAAAGCGGCCACCUGGACUGCACCUGACGCUGACACGCGAAAGCUAGGGGAGCGAACGGG